rnacentral:rRNA from 1 species
UACGUAGGGGGCAAGCGUUGUCCGGAAUCAUUGGGCGUAAAGAGCGUGUAGGCGGCCCGAUAAGUCCGCCGUGAAAGUCCAGGGCUCAACCCUGGAAUGCCGGUGGAAACUGUCGGGCUGGAGUCUGGAAGAGGCGAGUGGAAUUCCUGGUGUAGCGGUGAAAUGCGCAGAUAUCAGGAGGAACACCAAUGGCGAAGGCAGCUCGCUGGGACGGUACUGACGCUGAGACGCGAAAGCGUGGGGAGCAAACAGG